AAGACAGUAGUAGGCAGCUCUCCUCUGGCAGGUGCAUUCUAGGUGAUUUUGUAAUUGUAUAUGCAUCCAAGGUAUAUACAGUCCGGCCAUGGUGCUACAUUGCAAUCAUCCAUAUGUGAUUGCAUUGUGUAUAUAUAUACAUGGUGGCCUUUGAUAGACCAUCAUAUAUCGGUUGGUUAUGUGCAUGUAUGUAUAUACCAGCUGCUACUAGCUUUGAUCGAUCGCCAUGUAGCGAUUGAAUUCACCAAAACGGCCUGCCAAAGGAGAGUUGCCCUGCGACUGUCUU
rnacentral:pre_miRNA from 1 species